rnacentral:rRNA from 1 species
ACGCUGGCGGCGUGCCUAAUACAUGCAAGUAGAACGCUGAAGGAGGAGCUUGCUUCUCUGGAUGAGUUGCGAACGGGUGAGUAACGCGUAGGUAACCUGCCUGGUAGCGGGGGAUAACUAUUGGAAACGAUAGCUAAUACCGCAUAACAGUAGAUGUUGCAUGACAUUUGCUUAAAAGGUGCAAUUGCAUCACUACCAGAUGGACCUGCGUUGUAUUAGCUAGUUGGUGGGGUAACGGCUCGCCAAGGCGGCGAUACAUAGCCGACCUGAGAGGGUGAUCGGCCACACUGGGACUGAGACACGGCCCAGACUCCUACGGGAGGCAGCAGUAGGGAAUCUUCGGCAAUGGACGGAAGUCUGACCGAGCAACGCCGCGUGAGUGAAGAAGGUUUUCGGAUCGUAAAGCUCUGUUGUAAGAGAAGAACAGGUGUGAGAGUGGAAAGUUCACACUGUGACGGUAUCUUACCAGAAAGGGACGGCUAACUACGUGCCAGCAGCCGCGGUAAUACGUAGGUCCCGAGCGUUGUCCGGAUUUAUUGGGCGUAAAGCGAGCGCAGGCGGUUAGAUAAGUCUGAAGUUAAAGGCUGUGGCUUAACCAUAGUACGCUUUGGAAACUGUUUAACUUGAGUGCAAGAGGGGAGAGUGGAAUUCCAUGUGUAGCGGUGAAAUGCGUAGAUAUAUGGAGGAACACCGGUGGCGAAAGCGGCUCUCUGGCUUGUAACUGACGCUGAGGCUCGAAAGCGUGGGGAGCAAACAGGAUUAGAUACCCCUGGUAGUCCACGCCGUAAACGAUGAGUGCUAGGUGUUAGACCCUUUCCGGGGUUUAGUGCCGCAGCUAACGCAUUAAGCACUCCGCCUGGGGAGUACGACCGCAAGGUUGAAACUCAAAGGAAUUGAC